rnacentral:rRNA from 1 species
AGAGAGAGACAUGCGCGCAUAUCAAUAAGCGGAGGAAAAGAAACUAACAAGGAUUCCCCUAGUAACGGCGAGUGAAGCGGGAAGAGCUCAAAUUUGAAAUCUUAAAGGGUUUCCCUUUACGAAUUGUAGUUUAAAGAAGUGUUUUCUGUUGAGGUUUUGGUAAAAGUUCUUUGGAAUAGGACAUCAUAGAGGGUGAGAAUCCCGUAUUUGACCUUUACUUUCAACUUUGUGAUACACUUUCAAAGAGUCGGAUUGUUUGGGAAUGCAGUCCAAAAUGGGUGGUAAAUUUCAUCUAAAGCUAAAUAUUGGCGAGAGACUGAUAGCGAACAAGUACCGUGAGGGAAAGAUGAAAAGAACUUUGAAAAGAGAGUUAAACAGUACGUGAAAUUGUCAAAAGGGAAGCGUUUGACACCAGUGUUGUUUUUCUGAAAAUCAAUUAAAGAACUGUUUAUGCUAAGUUGUUUAGACUUUAUCAGCUAACUGUUUAGUUUUGAGCUUUCCUUUAAUGCACUUUUCAGUUAACAAGUCAACAUCAAUUUCUUUUGCUGUAAAAAAGCUUGAGGAAGGUGGCUUGAGAUUCGUCUUAAGUGUUUAUAGCCUCUUGCCUAUGCAGUCGGAAAGAUUGAGGUCUGCAGCGUAGAUCCUUCGGGGCUAAAUGCAUUUGUGCUAAGUUAUAGCAUUUUAUAGACAACUUGUUGACUAUGAUUUGUCUUGUAGCUUACUCGCUUAUGUUAUUUUACCUACGCUUAGGAUGUUGAGCGCAUGUCUCUCUCU